rnacentral:rRNA from 1 species
GUGUCAGCCGCCGCGGUAAUACGGAGGGUGCGAGCGUUGUCCGGAAUCAUUGGGCGUAAAGGGCGCGUAGGUGGCCCGGUCAGUCCGUGGUGAAAGCGCGGGGCUCAACCCUGCGUCGGCCAUGGAUACUGCCGCGGCUCGAGCACUGUAGAGGCAGGCGGAAUUCCGGGUGUAGCGGUGGAAUGCGUAGAGAUCCGGAAGAACACCGGUGGCGAAGGCGGCCUGCUGGGCAGUGGGGGGCAACCCCCUGAAAGCUGACACUGAGGCGCGACAGCGUGGGGAGCAAACAGGAUUAGAUACCCGGGUAGUCC